rnacentral:rRNA from 1 species
AUUGAACGCUGGCGGCAGGCCUAACACAUGCAAGUCGAGCGGAUGAAGGGAGCUUGCUCCUGGAUUCAGCGGCGGACGGGUGAGUAAUGCCUAGGAAUCUGCCUGGUAGUGGGGAAUAACGUCCGGAAACGGGCGCUAAUACCGCAUACGUCCUGAGGGAGAAAGUGGGGGAUCUUCGGACCUCACGCUAUCAGAUGAGCCUAGGUCGGAUUAGCUAGUUGGUGGGGUAAAGGCCUACCAAGGCGACGAUCCGUAACUGGUCUGAGAGGAUGAUCAGUCACACUGGAACUGAGACACGGUCCAGACUCCUACGGGAGGCAGCAGUGGGGAAUAUUGGACAAUGGGCGAAAGCCUGAUCCAGCCAUGCCGCGUGUGUGAAGAAGGUCUUCGGAUUGUAAAGCACUUUAAGUUGGGAGGAAGGGCAGUAAGUUAAUACCUUGCUGUUUUGACGGUACCAACAGAAUAAGCACCGGCUAACUUCGUG